rnacentral:rRNA from 1 species
CCUUGUACACACUGCCCGUCACACCAUGGGAGUUGGUUUUACCCGAAGGUAGUGCGCUAACCGCAAGGAGGCAGCUAACCACGGUAGGGUCAGCGACUGGGGUG